rnacentral:misc_RNA from 1 species
UCAGGAAGGCUUGUCGACUUC